rnacentral:rRNA from 1 species
AGAGUUUGAUCAUGGCUCAGGAUUAACGCUGGCGGCGUGCGUAACACAUGCAAGUCGAACGUCCUGCUCGCAAGGGCAGGGAGUGGCGGACGGGUGAGUAACACAUGGGUGACCUAUCCACACGUGAGGAAUACCGGGGCGAAAGCGCCGACAAUACCGCAUAGGGCCUGCCUGCUUCGGCGGGCAGGGCAAAGGUGCUC